ACCCUGUACCUUUGCUCCUAAGCAUGAAGAUGGGCUUCUGACCAAGUCCUGCUAGAGGACACUGAAAGGGCAAGCCUUGGGCUUUAACCAGGCAAUGUUCUCAUCCAUAUGAGCAAGGGCUUCAUGUUACUGGCCGUGGCCCUGUGCUGAGUCCUCCUCCCGCCCAUGGCCCUCUCCUCCUGGCCAGUGGUCCUCCGCCUGAACAUGGCCGACUUUGUCUUCAGUUUCCUCUGCCUCGGCAUUGGGCUCCUGAUUUCUCUUCAGCCUGACGCUCUUUUCAGUUAACGGCAAGGCGGUGCACCCAAGUCCGGUGGUGUCCUACCUGGUGACCUCCUACCUGUGCUGGGACGCCAGCGACUUGAUGCUGCACUCCGCAGGGCGCAGCGAGGCGGACAUCCAAACAGCGGAACUCAGACGCUGACUCCGAGCGCACCCCGGGCCUUCCCAUUUCAUACACCCUCGAGGAUGAGACCCAAGCACCUCCAAGGAAUAGCACCCGAGGUCUUCAGGACACCGACCGGUAGCCAUGGCCAGAUGCCCGGCCAACCCCUUCAGCGUGGCCACGCCCUGGAUAUUCGACCUCCCCUGAGGCCCCACCCCCUGAUAUCAGGCCACGCCCUCCGAGGGGACCGGUGGCAAACUCCAGCCCUCGCUCUAGGGCCCGCCCUUUGCGGCUUUGUCCCUGCCCACUGGGUCCUCACAGUACCUCCACCCCAGAGGCCCAGCAUCCCCUCCCGUUCUGCAGACACUUGUCCAGCGUCCCGCUGAGCUCGGCAGUGUGGCUAGUUUGUGUGGCCCUGCCCCUGGUGCCCAGCC
ensembl:lncRNA TMEM277P transmembrane protein 277, pseudogene